rnacentral:rRNA from 1 species
AGUGGCGCACGGGUGAGUAAUAUAUAGAUAACGUGCCUCUUAGUCUGGGAUAGCCAUUGGAAACGAUGAUUAAUACUAGAUACUCCUUCUCAUUCUAAUAUGAGUCGGGAAAGUUUUUCGCUAAGAGAUCGGUCUAUAUCCCAUCAGUUAGUUGGUAAGGUAACGGCUUACCAAGGCAAUGACGGGUAGCGGGUUUGAGAGGAUGAUCCGCCACACUGGUACUGAGACACGGACCAGACUCCUACGGGAGGCAGCAGUGAGGAAUAUUGCACAAUGGGGGAAACCCUGAUGCAGCAACGCCGCGUGGAGGAUGACGCAUUUCGGUGUGUAAACUCCUUUUACGAGUCAAGAAAAUGACGGUAGCUCGUGAAUAAGCACCGGCUAACUCCGUGCCAGCAGCCGCGGUAAUACGGAGGGUGCAAGCGUUACUCGGAAUCACUGGGCGUAAAGGACACGUAGGCGGGAUGCCAAGUCUGAUGUGAAAUCCUAUGGCUUAACCAUAGAACUGCAUUGGAAACUGGUAACCUAGAGUAUGGGAGGGGGAGAUGGAAUUAGUGGUGUAGGGGUAAAAUCCGUAGAUAUCACUAGGAAUACCGAAAGCGAAGGCGAUCUCCUGGAACAAUACUGACGCUAAGGUGUGAAAGCGUGGGGAGCAAACGGGAUUAGAUACCCCGGUAGUCCACGCCCUAAACGAUGAACACUAGUCGUCGGAAUGCUAGUCAUUUCGGUGAUGCACUUAACAGAUUAAGUGUUCCGCCUGGGGGAGUACGGUCGCAAGAUUAAAAACUCAAAGGGAAUAGACGGGGGACCCCGCACAAGUGG